AUUGAACGCUGGCGGCAGGCCUAACACAUGCAAGUCGAACGGUAACAGGAAGCAGCUUGCUGCUUCGCUGACGAGUGGCGGACGGGUGAGUAAUGUCUGGGAAACUGCCUGAUGGAGGGGGAUAACUACUGGAAACGGUAGCUAAUACCGCAUAACGUCGCAAGACCAAAGAGGGGGACCUUAGGGCCUCUUGCCAUCGGAUGUGUCCAGAUGGGAUUAGCUAGUAGGUGGGGUAACGGCUCACCUAGGCGACGAUCCCUAGCUGGUCUGAGAGGAUGACCAGCCACACUGGAACUGAGACACGGUCCAGACUCCUACGGGAGGCAGCAGUGGGGAAUAUUGCACAAUGGGCGCAAGCCUGAUGCAGCCAUGCCGCGUGUAUGAAGAAGGCCUUCGGGUUGUAAAGUACUUUCAGCGGGGAGGAAGGGAGUAAAGUUAAUACCUUUGCUCAUUGACGUUACCCUCAGAAGAAGCACCGGCUAACUCCGUG
rnacentral:rRNA from 1 species